GAGAAGCAGCAACAACAGCAACACUGUUAAUUGUCUGGGGCGCAAAUGCAAAAGAGGAAAACAGGUAAAUGCAGAAUUUAACAACAACAAAAACGUUAAUUUUUAACCAAAUGUGGUCAUUAAUUGUGGCCAGAAAGCAGUGGUAGAGGCCCUGCAGGGUUAAUGCCAUGGGCACGUGACAAAGAACUCAACCCCUCCUCAGACAUCGGCAGCUUAUGUAACCCCACACAUAACCCCCUGAAAAAUACUUAAACAAGUCGUAGCACACUCUCUCUUUAAGCCUUCUAUUUCUGGCUAUCCAAAAAGCUUUCGCUUCCGCAAACUCCAACACUUGCGAUGACCCAAGACGAGCUAAUUUUUAUCGCUCUGUGACACACGAAGUACAAUGAAGAACAGCCCAAACAACACACGUAACCCGAAGAGACUUGAAGCGUUGUUCGACUCUAAAUGGACUGCAGUUUGGCCCUGUACAGGGGAAAGUUCCCUCUAAGCAUUAAGCUUGGAAAGAAGCACGUACUUGAGUUCUCUCUGGGAUGGGAUUGGGAUUGAAUUGGGUUGGGUGUCGUGUCUGCUCCUCCUUGGUCACAGUUCCACUUUUGUUAUCUGUGAAAUAUUUGGCACAAGAGCUGCGAUAUAUGAUAUCGUUUGCACGGAUUUGGGAUACGACAGAUAAGCGACAUUCAGCGACUCUUCCUCCGAUUGCUAAACAAAAGAAUGAAAUGGCUGAGGAUGGAAUCUGGGGCUCAGCUGAUAAGCAGGGCACCAAAUUCAAUUUGCCAUCCAUUGAUGGGCAGCGAUAAGAACUCAGAAGAGGGGAGAGAACUACCAGAACAGGGGACUUAAUGCCAACGAUUGCUCUGUCAUUAUGACUUAAGAGUAAGAACAGACCAUAAAGUGUGCUCUCCCUUUGGUUCAUUGCUGAGUGGGGCAGUGGUGCCAUCAGCCAUCAGCCAUCCGCCAGCCAAGAGUACGAGAGGAUGGACAGAGACCGAAAGAGAUUCAGUGACAUAAUAAAUAAAUUUAAUCAGUUGGCUGCGUAAAACGCUUCCGUUGUUGUCUCUCCACUGCUGAGGAGGAAACCGAAUCGGAUUCUAAAUCAGCUUUAAGUUCUGGCCCGCCUUCAGCGCGUGGUCCCUCCAGGGGAAUGCCCCUGCUCCAGCUCGGAGUUAUCUUGGUGACUUGUGCUUUCGAUUCUGACUGUUGGUUUACUUUGAGAUUCCAUCGUCUCUGACUGUUUGUGCUUCUUACAGAUGAUUGUUGCUGCAUCUGCAAGAGCUGCCGCUGUCAUCAGUUCAUAUUUUGAGUGUUUAGUAGCGUUUAUUUCUUUCAAUUCCUCCUGUUUUACGACCCACCGUACCUCCACAUUCUCUGUGGGGUUAUCUCAGCCAGACUCCCCAUAUCUGUGCUUCUGCUUAUUGUGUCUAUUGAAGCUCUGACGGCGGUUCACAUUGCGUAUGCGUAAUCGAGGAAGAAGACUAUGACUGUGUCUGGGUCUGGGUAUGGGGUUCAAAGGGCAAUUGUGGUGUGACACCGAGCAGAGUGUUCAUAGCCAGCAGCUAACAUACUUUUCCAAUUAUUUGACGCACUCUCACACAUAUUCCCCACGACUUUGCCGACGUUUUUAUUAACACAUUUCAUUUGAUGGCUGGCAAACGCGUUGUCGCUGGGGUUUUCCAUGAUCUUUCCCCUUUGUAAAAUGUAGCUUCCUCUGUGUUGAUUGUUUGCUUUUCUGUUUGUUGGUGGGAGGGGUUUAAUCCUUAAUUAAAAGCAUGAUAAUAUUUAAAGGCCCAACAUAAGCGCUCGCACAUCCCCCGCAAGAGAAAAGUGAAAUUUAAUGGGGAAAUGUAUUUAAUUGAAAUUUAAAUGCCCGUGGAAUAUCCCUUUGCUGCCGCCUCCUGAACCUGUCAGCAAUUGCACAACUGUGCGGCUUUAAUUAUUUACAACUCCACGUUGGUUUACCAUAUGUUGUCUGUGGGCAAAUAAUUAGCAAACGGCAAAACCAUUUAAAUUUAAGUCAGAAUAUAAACUUGAAAUUGUGUAAUUAUAUGCUCUGCAUGUGUGCGUAUGUGUGUGGCAGGUGAAUUUGCAUAGUAAUUGCCACUGAAAUACACGUAAGUAAUUGUUCCGUUUGCUGGAAAUGAGGCAACAUUUUGUUUGUUUUUUGAUUGAUUUGUCGGAGAUUGAGAUUGUCGCUUCCAGUCAGGGAAAAAAUGCGCAGAUAAUUGAAUUUAAUAUUCGGUUUUUAAAUUUUAAUAUGAAAUAUAUUCAAUUUAAAUAUAUUUUAUUUACUAUACUUAAAUCAAACAUUCUUAUAUUAAAAUCAAAACGCAGUGCUUAUUUAUGUAAAAACAUAUAUGCAAAUAUAAAUUUAAUGUAUUCAAUUUUCUUAUUUGAGGGAAUGAGUAGAAUGGUUCAGGUGUGGGAAAUUCAAUUAAAUUUGUUUACAAAUUCUGUAAUGUUCUGUUUUGAGGGUAAAGGAAGGAAUAAAAUAUUCUAAUAUAUUUUCUUUGGUUUUACACGUGUAUGCAGAUGAUUUAAGUUUGUUGGAAAUAAAUUUCAACCCUCUGCAAAACCCGUUUUCAGUCUUAUUAAUUAGCUUUAUAAAUUUAAUAGGCUUUAUAAAAGUAAACAGCAUUUUUUACACGAUAAACGAGUAUAGCCGUAAUUUUUAUAAUUAAUAUCUAAAUCAAUAACACAUCAUCCAAGUUUAUAAAUAUAUUUUUAGACGUUUACCCAUCCCAAAGCGAAUCAAUUCCCCGACAACCUUGACCCAUUUCCUGUUUGAUCUGAGCUGACGUCAUCAUUUAGUUUGAGAGACAGAGAGAGAGAAGGGAGAGAGAGAAACUCCCGGAAACACUAUUACUUUCACUGAAUUCAAUUCACAACAAUUUAUGCUUAAACGUUGUACAAUAAAAAAGGAGGAACAAGUCCAAGGUUUGAGACAUAAAUUAGCAUUUAUUUCUCCGAUAUUCAGGCCCAGAAUUCAGAGUUCUGUGUUAAUUGCUGAAAACGAAUCUUAAGACGAAACCCGUUCUACAUAACUUGACAAAAAUGAAAACAGUUUCGGUUUCCGCAUCAUGAAUAUAAUUAUAUUUCAAAAACCAUGUUUUUGGGGAAAUAAAAUCAGAAUUGCAUGAGCUGGAAGCUCGUGGGGGGAGAGUCCGAAUCGGAGUCAGAACCACUACUGGAGUCCCUGCCAUUAAAGUCGAUGCCUCUGCCAUUGCCAAUGUUUUCAAAUGCUGCAAGGCGCUGCAGGAUCGCAUCGGUGUCGGCACUGUGCACACUUUCGCUCCAUUUCAAGUUCUCAUCGCUGUCACCUAGGCCUCGUCGUUCUCCGAUGUGCUGAUAUGUGUCCGGUGCAGCGAUCACCGAAUAGAUUGCCACACAGAGCAUCAGCAGUCCCAGAAUCGAUUGCAUUUUCCGCUCUUAGCUCAGGCAACACUUGACUGAAUGUCAGUGGUCAGCCACAGAGCUGGGCUUUUAUAGCCUUGUCUCUGGGCUAUCAGCAAAGCUCAAUGAUUGACAUUACAUGUACA
rnacentral:lncRNA from 1 species